rnacentral:rRNA from 1 species
AUGGAGCCGACCUUGAAAUACCACCCUUUAAUGUUUGAUGUUCUAACGUUGACCCGUAAUCCGGGUUGCGGACAGUGUCUGGUGGGUAGUUUGACUGGGGCGGUCUCCUCCUAAAGAGUAACGGAGGAGCACGAAGGUUGGCUAAUCCUGGUCGGACAUCAGGAGGUUAGUGCAAUGGCAUAAGCCAGCUUGACUGCGAGCGUGACGGCGCGAGCAGGUGCGAAAGCAGGUCAUAGUGAUCCGGUGGUUCUGAAUGGAAGGGCCAUCGCUCAACGGAUAAAAGGUACUCCGGGGAUAACAGGCUGAUACCGCCCAAGAGUUCAUAUCGACGGCGGUGUUUGGCACCUCGAUGUCGGCUCAUCACAUCCUGGGGCUGAAGUAGGUCCCAAGGGUAUGGCUGUUCGCCAUUUAAAGUGGUACGCGAGCUGGGUUUAGAACGUCGUGAGACAGUUCGGUCCCUAUCUGCCGUGGGCGCUGGAGAACUGAGGGGGGCUGCUCCUAGUACGAGAGGACCGGAGUGGACGCAUCACUGGUGUUCGGGUUGUCAUGCCAAUGGCACUGCCCGGUAGCUAAAUGCGGAAGAGAUAAGUGCUGAAAGCAUCUAAGCACGAAACUUGCCCCGAG